UUUUUUUUUUGAUUUGGUGGUGUAUCAUAAAUAAGUAUGAAUGGAGUUUUGAUUUGCUGCUGCAUAUUUUUAGAGUAGGAAAAUGGCUUUUGGGUUUGGGGGAAUUUGUAUUGAUGAGAGUUUUUGUUGUUUGUACUUCUUUGGUUGCACUUCACUGUGAUUAUGGUGGUGGCAAAAUGAAAUGGUGUGAGUCGGGUAGGCUAACAGGAAUGCUUGACAUGGUGCUCAGGUAUGGGUCCUACAAAAAGUAGAAAAAAUUGAGUGAUGAGAAACUAAAAACAUGUGCCAAACGAGUGGGGUAUAGAAAAUUGGAGUAUUUUGAGUGAUAAGUGAUGAGUGAUGAAUAAUGAAUGAUGAGUGAUGAAAAUUGAGUGAGGAGUGAUGAGUGAUGAAAAAAAAAUCCAAACAACCCCUUACUUUCCACACAGAUAUAUAUCAGUGAUACUUACUUUCCACAGAAAUAUGCUUAUUUUGAUGCAACACUAAAAAUUUUCUAUAUGAUAAUGAUAUAUAUUCUACUUGACAUUGUCGCUUGCACAAACUAUAGCCAAAUUAUUAAUUUUAUAGAAUUUUCUUCUGCCUCAUCCAGUGAUUCUUUAUAUGUAAUUUAACAAGCACUAGUAUAAAGCUUUUUGAUGACAGAAUCUACAAUUUAAUUUUUGUAAUUAUUUAAUUUUGAUAUUUUUAUGUAAAAAAAGUUAUUUAAGGUUUAGGGUUAUUAUUUCCUUAUUUUUAGGUGCAUAUAAUGAUUUUUAGGUCAAAUUUGAUUCCUUUUAUAAUUAGGUAUCAAUUAGGAGUUAUUUUACAUUAUAUUUUCUUAUUUAUCAAGUUUUACGGAGUCCUUAAAUAGGCCUCUAAGUCUGUAUACGUUUUUGGAACAAUUAUUUAAUCAAUAAAAUUCAAACUUUUGUCUUUCUAUUUUCUGGUGGAUUCCAGACCAUUUCUUCUUGUGGAUUCAAGGACCCCUCAUGGAUUUGUGUUAUUUUCAGAAGCAAACGGGUAGAUGUAUUCUGCUUCUUGACACUUCCGCAUCCCGCAUCAAUUGGAUGCUAUUGCUGGAGCAUGGAAAUAAUAGGGAUAACUGUCGCGGAGACAUAGCUCAUAAGUAACCUAUUGGGACAAGAAGUUUAAGUUGCUCAAUUUAUGACUUUCAAGUUUGGCAAGAAGGCAAGGAAGAUGAAGUAUUCAAAGUAUUUGUUCUCAUGGCAUGGAAGAUUUCAGAUUUCAAAGAUGAAUUCGAGGACCAGUUUGUUUCAAGUGGAGGGGUCUGAUGUAGGACCGAAUCUACAAUUUAAUUUUCGUAAUUAUUUAAUUUUGAUAUUUUUUAUGCAAAAAACGUUAUUUUAGGUUUAGGGUUAUUACUUCCUUGUUUUUAGGUGCAUUUAAUGUUUUUUAGGUCAAAUUUGAUUCCUAUUAUAAUUAGGUAUCAAUUAAGAGUUAUUUUAUAUUAUAUUUUCUUGUUUGCCAAGUUUUACGGAGCCCUUAAAUAAGCCCCUAAGUCUGUCCACGUUUUUGGAACAAUUAUUCAAUCAAUAAA